rnacentral:misc_RNA from 1 species
UCCGGCUUAUCACCGGCGGUUCCUUUAGAGUGCCCAACUAAAUGAUGGCAACACAGGACAAGGGUUGCGCUCGUUGCGGGACUUAACCCAACAUCUCACGACACGAGCUGACGACAGCCAUGCAGCACCUCGACUAGACCCCCUUACGGAGUAACCGUGUUUCCACGAUCGUUGACUAGCCGUUCGAGCCCAGGUAAGGUUCUUCGCGUUGCGUCGAAUUGAACCACAUGCUCCACCGCUUGUGCGGGCCCCCGUCAAUUCCUUUGAGUUUCAGCCUUGCGACUGUACUCCCCAGGCGGCAUAUUUAACGCGUUAGCUCCGGCACAGACAGAAUGAACUGCCUACACCAAGCAUUCAUCGUUUAAGGCCAGGACUAC